rnacentral:rRNA from 1 species
AACGAACGCUGGCGGCAGGCCUAACACAUGCAAGUCGAACGUGAAGCCACCUUCGGGUGGUGGAAAGUGGCAGACGGGUGAGUAACGCGUGGGAACGUGCCUUUCGGUUCGGAAUAACCCAGGGAAACUUGGGCUAAUACCGGAUACGCCCUUCGGGGGAAAGAUUCAUCGCCGAAAGAUCGGCCCGCGUCGGAUUAGCUAGUUAGUAGGGUAAUGGCCUACCAAGGCAACGAUCCGUAGCUAGUCUGAGAGGAUGACCAGCCACACUGGGACUGAGACACGGCCCAGACUCCUACGGGAGGCAGCAGUGGGGAAUAUUGGACAAUGGGCGAAAGCCUGAUCCAGCCAUGCCGCGUGGGUGAAGAAGGCCUUAGGGUUGUAAACCCCUUUCAGCGGGGAAGAUAAUGACGGUACCCGCAGAAGAAGCCCCGGCUAACUCCGUGCCAGCCGCCGCCGUAACAC